rfam:Rhodobacteraceae bacterium CG2_30_10_405 cg_3.0_sub100_scaffold_361_c, whole genome shotgun sequence.
GGUUCGGGAGCCAUCCGGUGGGACGGAUGGCAUGAAUGGAACCAGACCCCCUGCUUCGCAAGCGGCACGCGCCCGUGACCCCGAUGGUCCGUGUG